CCUUGAGCACGGACAGCCUGGAUCUGCUGGGUAAAGGGAGAAGUUAUGUCCAGGGUGGGACAGAGAGGACGGCGAGAGAUUUCCUCACUACUCAGAACAGCGGGAAAUUCAAAACUUAGGGAUUAUUUCUGAAAUUUUCCAUUUAAAAUUUUCUAUUUAAAAUUGACGAAGGGUAACUGAAACCAGAGAAAGCAAGACUGACGAUAAGGGAGGGGCCUCCUGUACUCCAAGAGCACUGAAUCUGGAAAAACUCAACACAUCGAUGGAGUCAUAUAUUUAAUUUUUUCUUAAAAGCCGCCUGCGGGGUAUUGUAGAAACGCUGCGCUGCCUAUCACAGCUUGUGAUGUGACACGUUCAUUCUGCAAGUUUAAACUUCGCCUAGCAAAUCUUUAUGAGCAUCUACUAUGCAUCAUGCUGUUCUCGUGAACAAAACAAGAUCCAUAUCCUGAGGGAGUGUGCCUUCCAGCAGAGAAAGACGGCAGUGUGUAAGGAGCGUUAGAAGAAGAUGUUGUCUUUUGUGUGUAGAAAGUGGUAUGUAAAAGUGAAAAAUAAAAAGAAAUAGAGCAGAAUCAGGGA
rnacentral:lncRNA from 1 species